UACGUAGGGGGCAAGCGUUGUCCGGAUUUAUUGGGCGUAAAGAGCGUGUAGGCGGCCAGGGAGGUCCGUUGUGAAAACUCGAGGCUCAACCUCGAGACGCCGAUGGAAACCCCCUGGCUAGAGUCCGGAAGAGGAGAAUGGAAUUCCUGGUGUAGCGGUGAAAUGCGCAGAUAUCAGGAGGAACACCGGUGGCGAAGGCGGCUCGCUGGGCCGGACCUGACGCUGAGGCGCGAAGGCGUGGGGAGCGAACGGG
rnacentral:rRNA from 1 species